UAUCUAAGAUUUUUAUUUUUGUGUUACCCACAUUAGGAAUUCUAAACAUUUUUGAAUAUCAUAUCAAAAAUUGACCGCUCCAGCGGGGUUCGAACCCGCGUCUCCGACUUGCCGUGUCGGCGCUCUAGCCAAUUAAGCUAUGGAACGAUGCACCCGCUCGAGCGAAAUUUUCGAUAUGAUAAUUUUUAAUUUUCGGUUUAAGCGAACCGUGGCGCCGUCUAUAGUGAGCUCUUUACAGAAACCCGUAACUAUUCAAAGUUUCAUAUUACAAUGAAAAUCUUUGACAGGAGACGACACCGUGCUAUUUUUAAUAUCUAAGAUUUUUAUUUUUGUGUUACCCACAUUAGGAAUUCUAAACAUUUUUGAAUAUCAUAUCAAAAAUUGACCGCUCCAGCGGGGUUCGAACCCGCGUCUCCGACGUACCGUGUCGGCGCUCUAGCCAAUUAAGCUAUGGAACGAUACACCCGCUCGAGCGAAAUUUUCGAUAUGAUAAUUUUAAAUUACGGUUUAAGCGAACCGUGGCGCCGUCUAUAGUGAGCUCUUUACAGAAACCCGUAACUAUUCAAAGUUUCAUAUUACAAUGAAAAUCUUUGACAGGAGACGACACCGUGCUAUUUUUAAUAUCUAAGAAGAUUUUAUUUUUGUGUUACCCACAUUAGGAAUUCUAAACAUUUUUGAAUAUCAUAUCAAAAAUUGACCGCUCCAGCGGGGUUCGAACCCGCGUCUCCGACUUGCCGUGUCGGCGCUCUAGCCAAUUAAGCUAUGGAACGAUGCACCCGCUCGAGCGAAAUUUUUGAUAUGAUAAUUUUUAAUUUUCGGUUUAAGCGAACCGUGGCGCCGUCUAUAGUGAGCUCUUUACAGAAACCCGUAACUAUUCAAAUUUCAUAUUACAAUGAAAAUCUUUGACAGGAGACGACACCGUGCUAUUUUUAAUAUCUAAGAUUUUUAUUUUUGUGUUACCCACAUUAGGAAUUCUAAACAUUUUUGAAUAUCAUAUCAAAAAUUGACCGCUCUGUUUCUGUAAAGAGCUCACUAUAGACGGCGCCACGGUUCGCUUAAACCGAAAAUUAAAAAUUAUCAUAUCGAAAAUUUCGCUCGAGCGGGUGCAUCGUUCCAUAGCUUAAUUGGCUAGAGCGCCGACACGGCAAGUCGGAGACGCGGGUUCGAACCCCGCUGGAGCGGUCAAUUUUUGAUAUGAUAUUCAAAAAUGUUUAUAUUUC
rnacentral:misc_RNA from 1 species